rnacentral:rRNA from 1 species
GACGAACGCUGGCGGCGUGCUUAACACAUGCAAGUCGAACGGAAAGGCCCUGCUUUUGUGGGGUGCUCGAGUGGCGAACGGGUGAGUAACACGUGAGUAACCUGCCCUUGACUUUGGGAUAACUUCAGGAAACUGGGGCUAAUACCGGAUAGGAGCUCCUGCUGCAUGGUGGGGGUUGGAAAGUUUCGGCGGUUGGGGAUGGACUCGCGGCUUAUCAGCUUGUUGGUGGGGUAGUGGCUUACCAAGGCUUUGACGGGUAGCCGGCCUGGGAGGGUGACCGGCCACAAGGGGACUGAGAUACGGCCCAGACGCCUACGGGAGGCAGCAGUGGGGAAUAUUGCACAAUGGGCGGAAGCCUGAUGCAGCAACGCCGCGUGCGUGAUGACGGCCUUCGGGUUGUAAACCGCUUUCGCCUGUGACGAAGCGUGAGUGACGGUAAUGGGUAAAGAAGCACCGGCUAACUACGUG